UUCCCAAAAGCCAAGCAAGGGCCAUGGCCCGGAGCCAGGGCAGAGCUGCCUCCAGUUUGCGGCCAGCGGGCUGCCAGGUGGACCAAUCACCUUUGGCUUCAUGGAAACAGCCCAUAAAUCAAUGUAAGAGAGAGCCAAGCUGCGGUUUCGGGACUCAGCCAGCUCUUAUUGACCGUGCGGCACCUUGGACCACACUGCCUUUGACCCAGUGAUUUAACUUGAAGCCAACACAAAACAUUUUGAGGCCCACGAUACUGGAUAAAUUGAACUGACAGAUAAAGAGGCUGUUUGAACCUCUGAGCCAGUUGAUCUUCAUGGUACACAUGGAAAAACUGAAGUCCAUAGAAGCCGAAAGUAAUUUGACCAGGAGCGAAGGUUCUUGCAAUCACUAUUCACUGCCUCCCAGGAUGGUUUCUUUUGAUAGCCAAAUAAAGGUGGAUUUGAAAGAACCUAUCCUCCCAUCUUCUCAUUUUGGCCAAUUCGAAUAAACCUUUCUCCAUUGCCAAGCACCAGUGUCUCAGUGAUUGGCUUACUGCACAUCAGACACAGGAACUUGAGAUUAAGAGGUUCAGUAUCAUGUUCAGGAGAAAUCCUAGAGGCCAUCUGAGGAGCAGGGGACAUUCAAGCCUGAGGAAGGAAGACAAGGUGAGCAGCUCUCCUACUAUUUGAAGGAAGAGGAAGCCUCCAGAGCAGAGCUAGAAAUCAAAGGUGAAAAGCUACAAGGAGAUGCAUCUGGGCUCAAAAGAAGGAAGAAUUUUUUAAAUGUAUUCAUUAUAAGAUCUACAGGCAAACAUAAAAAGCCCAGCCCCAUUGAAAUCCCAGCGCUGUGCCACAUCUGUGUCAGAUCUCCAAGGACAACUUUUCUAACCGUUGAGCCAGUCCCGUGAUGAACUGGGCUGCCUGGCGCACAUGGUGGCCUCAUCUGGGCUGACCUCCUGAAAAAUGGCUGGGAGUGACCAGGCUGUCCCUCAGUGACCCCCUCCAAUGAAGCGUUCCAGGCUCUCCACCCUCAGGGCAACCCACUAGAUGGGCCUGCAUGUCCUGGCAUUUGGGGACGUGUGGUCUGACAGAGCCAGUGAGUGGGGUCCCCACAUCCAGAUGUGUGGACAGCAGCAAGGCCCACAGUGGUGACAACCCAGAGGCCUGUCUUCCUGCUCCAACGAGCCCCUGCCUGAAGUGUCAGAAAGAGCUCACCUCUCAGGUGGAAAACUCAGCACCAGAUGGGUGGGGGGCCCCCAGUGCUCCGACAGAGCGGGGCUGGGGCACUGCCCACUUCAGGGGCACUGAGGGUGCUCGGGCACUUGGGAAGAUUUCAGAAAGGCUUUCGGAAGGCAGCUCAAGGGGAGUCUGUGCAGAUGCACUUGGUGAACCUGUGGUUGGCGGAUUGCUGACUCCAGGCACUGGACCUGUUGCUGCUUGAUGCUGAGACAGGCGGGAUGGAGAGCUUGGGUUUCUGCAGUCACCUCUCAGACCCGGGGAUGGUCUCAGCGCAUAGAAGUCAGAGAGCGUUAAAAGUCAGACAGGAGCUCAGACAUCAAGUUCCACCCUCUCAUUUUAUUUAACAUUUUUAACACUCAGCUCUUUUAAAAAAUAUUAUUAGACAAGUAACACAUGCCCAUUCUAAAAUAUUUGGGAAGUACAGAAAACAAUAAGGAAGAAAAUGCAGCCCUAUAAAUUUACCAAAGAUAGCUGCUGUUUUAUUUCCGUCUCACCUUUUUUCCUAUGGUCGUACAUAUUUUUAUCAUCACUGAGAUCAUACAGUAUAUAUCAUUUUGUAUCUGCUUUAUUCACUUUGUUAGAUUAUAAGCAUUUUCAACGUAAUGAAAUAUUCUUUUUCAACACUGCACAAGCGUGUUUUGAGUGGACACACAGUAAAUACUUUGUUUCCAGUUUUUCAAGAAUAUGAAAACACACCAAAGUGAACAUCUUUUAAAUAUAAAAAAUCUUUGUCCACAAUUUGGUUUUUCCCUUAGGUUAGAUUCCUACUCAUAGAGUAUAAAUAUGUUUUAAGACUUUGUAUAUCUCUUUCUGUUUUGCUUUCCAAAAGGCCUGACCUAAUGCAUGCCCACCUCACCACAAACUACACCAAGAAAUUUCAUUUUAAAAAAUAUUUACUGAUUUGAAAGCCAAUAAUUCUAUUGCUUCCUUUUAAUAGGUAAAUUGAGACUUGGUGAGGAAAAGGAACCCACCUGGGGUCUCUCCAGGAGGGUGUUGUCUCAUUCCAUCCUCACAAGAACCUGCAACAGUGGUGGAGGCCCUAACGCACGGGGAUGAAGGGACCCGCCCAGACUCGCACUCAGCUCUUGAGACGGGAGCCUGAGUGUGGUCCCCGGGUCAGACCCAAGGCCCUUGUACUUCAUCUCUCUUCUACAGCUGCUCUUCCCAGAGAGUGCUGAACGGUGGUUUGGGGCCUAGACGUAAAGAAACUCAGAGUUCAGAUUUACCCUGUAGACAGAGGGGCACCAUUAAUGGGUUCUUCAGCAUCAAGACUUGUUCUACAGAGAUGUUUCUGGUGGACUGUCUGGGGGAGGCUGGAGACAGGGAGGCUCUGGGGAGAUGCGACGUACAGAUAAUGGGAACGAAGCAUGCACGCAUGUGGUUUUGGGCUACGGGCCCAGGCAGUCGGGAACAUUAGGGGUCUGGGGAGGCCUACUGCGGUGCCCUUUUCACUGGGCAAGGGCCAUUUUUAUCUGCUACGCGUCAGGCCAAACCUGUGCCAACUGCCAAAGACUCCACCUCAAAUGUAGCAAAUAAGAGAGAGGACGGUAUGGAUUACGUUAUAUUUAAAACCAGCCCACACAAUGCCUGUAAUUUUUUAUUCUGACUCCGUAAUUAUAGCUCAAGACCAGCCAGAUCAUAGUUAUCCCCACACCGACCUGCUGUUGGGACACAUUGAAUUAAAGGCUUUGCUGCUCCUCAAGAUUCUAUUUUGGAUGCCCAGCACUGGCAGGUAACGGGCCUUUCACAAGGCCCGCCUUGUUGGAGCCCCUCGCAGGGCAGCCUGCGUGAAAGCCAGGUCAGCGCUGGGCUUUCUCAAAGACCACUGAUGCUUGCGAGCAGUUGGGACGCUACAGCUUUGCCCAGCCUGACCCCCAGGCCUGAACCAGGGGCCCCGAGAGCGGAGGGCAGCACCAUCCUUGCAACAGGCCAGCCUCCCUUGGUCAGGGCCAUCUCAGAGCUUCUGCACUCUGGGAGAUUCCUGAAUGCUGCUCUCCCUACCACUCUGACCAGGUUCCCAGGGUCAGAUAGGCCAAGCCCUGGCUCUUGGGCACAGUUGUCACAGUGAGGCUGGCAUUGCCCAAAGGGGCCUAGUUGAGAAAAGGGGAGAAAAAGGAAACCGAAGGAGCCAGACUUACACAGACGGCCCCUGUGACUAACUAGGCCUGGCCAAUAAGACCCUCCAGUGGGCUGCGCCCCCUCCCUGUCCUGGGGUCCACCACACCACCUCUCAGCCUCACGAAGAUGCACCUGACAGGGCAGGAGCAGGACUGGGUCCCUGCUCACAGACCUGGGGCACCACUGCCCCUUCCUCCAUACGGCCUCCCCACACCGGUCCUGCCUCUCUGUAGCCCCGGCACGGUGAUAGCACAGCUCCCACUUACUGAUGAACUGCAGGCCUGGGCUUGUGGAGGCCCUUCACAUGCCUCAUCUCAUUUACUCGCAUCUCCCCUGCCAAGUAGGUGUGACUAGUGUUCUCAUCAUUUCCACUUCAGGCAUGAGGAAUGGAGCUCAGAGAGGUAAAGUGUGGGGCUCAAGGCCACCCAGCUCAUAGGGGAAGGAGUGGGAGCUGGAACCCGGUUGUCAGAUGCCCCCAAACCACACAGCUUACCCACUGGUGACUGGCCUGAAGCCACCAGUCCUGCUCCUGCCUGCUGCUUGGUGGUCCCCUGCCCCCGGGAAACUCCCUGAACACUUGGGCCCAAGAAAGCCCGACCCCAGUACCUGUCUCUUAGCGCAGUUUCCUGCUGCACACGCUCCCCUUGCCUCCGCCAGGGCCCACAACAGCCAGCCAGCUCCCUGCACAGACCCUUCCUCUCCUGUCCCCACAGAGAAUGAAUGUUUCCCUCCUCUGACCUCUGAUGCAUCUUGCACACACUUCUAUUUUAACAUUUAAGACAUUGUUGUCACGAUUCACAUGACUCUCCUACUAGUUUUCUCAGGGCAGGGCCUGUGUCCUAUCUCUUUCUUAGGAGUUUGAUACCUGGCACAUAGUAGGUGCUUACUGUUUGUUGCAAGAAAAAAAUGAGAGUCUGAAAAGCUAUUUGUCCUUCAAAACUCUGCUUAGAAUAGAUCCUGGGAAUCCUUUCCUGAUUCACACAGACUGAGCUAACCCCAUCCCUUCCUAUACUAUCUGUAGGAUUGUACACCCUCAAGGUCAGGGACAAACCUGCUCCUUCCCUGUGACCCCGUCUCUCCGCACAGACCAGGCAUCUAGCAGGGGUCGGUAAAUGUAGAACUGAAUUGCUCUUUGCUUCAGAGGUCCAGCUUAGGAGUACCAUGACCUGAACCGGCCAGCUGCCCAUGUCACCAGGCUGAAACCACCAGGGACUGGCAUGCCAGGGAUGUUUGCUGAGGAAGGGAAUACUGAAAUAAAUCCUAGCUUUAAAAAAGGAACACACCCAAUAGGUAUUCUAUUUAUAUGAAAUUCAGCUCCAUUUUUAGGUAGCUGUCCUGCCACCUCACCUCCCCAAGGUGGGCCCUGCCCUCCCACAGGUCCCCUCCACACCCCACCCGGUAAUCAUGGCCCUACCUGCCCUUAUCCCCUCCUGUGUUUGCUCCCUGGGGUUUCCUUCGAUUGCAGGGUGUGAGCCUCCAGGCGCCCCAGAGGCCUGUCUUGUACCUGAUCCCAGACUCCCUCCCUCCCUCUCUGACCUGCCCUUCCAAUCCUAGAGUUCCCAGGAGCAGGCCAGAGUCAGGACCACUGGGCCCAUGAGGUGGGGUGGGGUGGAGGAGGGGCAGGGCAGGGAGUCUGUCUGUGACUGGGUGGCCCCUUAACUGAACCAGAGCAGGACAGAUGCACGGCUUGGGUGCGCAGGAGCCAGGCCCUGCCCCCUAGGCCUCUGUCAAGCCAGCAAGACCCCACUCCCUAGUUCAAAGCAUGGGGUCCGAGUGGCGCACAGUGAAAAGAACUGGGCUUUGGAGUCAGGCUCAGGGUCCUGGUCCCGGCUCCGGCAUUUAGACAACCCCGUACCUCCCUAACCUCCCCCAGCCUCAUCCCCCGCACUGGCCAGACAGACAGGGCUGCUGCACUCGUCUGCCCAGCGUCACACCAUGCGGCAGGGACAGCACAGGGCGGCCACUCUGGCAGCGGGCCUGUGUGAAACCCAGCAGGUGAGAAAUCUGGAUGGAGGGCAGCAGCCUGAUGCUUCCCGUGUGCUCAGCAAGGCUCGGGCUCCAGGCAGUCCAGCCCUGUUCUGGGAGCCGCCUUCCCUGGUGUCACGGCUCGCUGUCCCCUCCACCAGCUCCCUUGACCCAGAGUCCCACUGGGGCCUGAGGGAGCACCCCACGCUGGCAAGGUUCCUGCUCCUCAUGGAGGGCCAACUGAGUGAGGGCUGUCCGGGGACCCCUGACAUCCUGGCAGCUCCUUCCAGGCUCUGGCCAGGUUCUAGGAAGAGCGCAGGGCAGGCCUGAGGGGGGCUGGGCCGCCCUCACAGCUCAGCACUCAGGCAGGCACCCAGCUAACCACGGCUGCGGUUUCCAGAGAGCCAGGCCUCUCGCCGCAGGGACAGUAAACUGAGAGGCACUGUAGCUAUAAAUGUGAAGUGGUGAACCGCGGACACUGCCGCAGCCCCACAGGGGGUGGGAGCCUGCCCCUCCUGCCCCUCCAGGCCCCCGAUGCAGGGCUGCCCCACCUGAGUGGGCUCCGCUCUGGGCCCGAGCAGGGCCACUGGGGUCCCCGGUACAGCCGGGCCCUGCUGGGGCGGGCAGGCAGGACACCACACAGCACUUUGUGCGCUGACGGUCAGGGCCGCCGGCCUCGCCUCACAAGCCCCAUCUUGUUUUAUGGUGACCACCCAAGAGGAGGGAGUCCCCUAUUCUUGCUGGAGGUGAGUGCUUCUCGAGGUCUUAGUCCUGUGCUGGGUGGCUGCAGGUUACAGCUGCACACCUGUCAGCAGGCUGCCUCAGACACAGGCACGGUGACCUCGGGCUGGACUCCUGUGGUCCUCACGGGUAUCUUCACAGGCAGGCAAAGAGACCCUGGGAGUAGCAGCGGUGGCUGAAAGAUAGGAGCAGCCCCCUUCAAAUGCCUGCUGCGUGCCCAGCCCAGAGCUCCCUGAACCUUGGAAGGGUUGUGGUGCCCAUUUCACAGGUGAGGGGCCACGCCCAGGGAGGAGGGCCCGGAGCGCCACUGGGCCUCGGGUCUCCCCACCUCUCCCACUUCACACCUGGGUGGGAGCGAGUGCGAGGUGGGAGCAGGGGCCCCUUUGGAGGAGUCUGGGGAAGUCAAGAAAGGCCCUCUUUCUCUGUCCUCUCAGAGCCUGCCUGGGAAAGGCCUCUCCUCCAGCACCCUCCUCCACUGGACAGUCUGUCCCCUGGCACAGGCCCCUCCCAUCAGGCUAGGGAACUGACCAGGAAAGGAGGGUCACCCUCAGCUUGUCUGUCACCUGCCCCAUAGGAGAGCUCAGAGAUGAGCCCACACAGUAGGACUGUCCUGAGCAAUGUCUCUUCGAUGUCCCUUGGCUGGAGCCCCUUCAGGAAGGAUGGAGACGGACGUCUAGGAAGAGCCAUCAGCCAAGGCAGAGGCCAUCCUGGGAGACUGUGAGGAAGAGCUCUGGGCUGGGUGAUGGGGAAGAGAGACCACGAGGAGCCUUCAGACAGGACUGCAGGCCUAAGGGUCACCAGCGGGGAAGUCACGGGGGCUUGGCCCCUGCUGGCAGCCCAUCGCCACCCUCUGUGAGUCAGGCAGUUUAGCUUCCCAAGUCCACUAAUAUGAAAGACAAAAACAGACUGGACAAAUGUUUACUACAAAAAACAUUUGGUGUUUCUUAUUUGUGAGAAAAUUUAAAACUUUACAAGAGGACAUAAAGCUUUGCUAUAUGGAAAAACAUUUUAUCGUGCAGGAUGAAUAUUAUAAAGAUCAUUUCUCAUCUAACCUAAUCUACAAACCUAUUCUGAUUCAUUCAUUCAUUCAAUAUUUAUUGAGUGCUUACUAUGUACCAGUGUGUUCUAGGCACAGGAGAAACAGGAGGGAACAAAACAGACAAAAAUGCCUGCCCUUGUGGGACUUACAUUCUUAAAGUUGGUGAGAGACAGACAAACAAAGGACUAAAGAAGUAAGUCACCAUGGCCAGCCCCGUGGCCAGGUGGUUAAGUUCACGCGCUUCACUUCAGCGGGCCGGGGUUCACCAGUUCAG